rnacentral:tRNA from 1 species
UAAGAUAUAGCAUAAACUAAUGUAUUUCACUUACGCUGAAAUGAUACUUCUAUAAGGAGUUGUCUUAA